UACAGAGGGGGCAAGCGUUAUUCGGAAUUAUUGGGCGUAAAGGGCGCGUAGGCGGCUUGGCAAGUGGAAGGUGAAAUCCCUCGGCUUAACCGAGGAACUGCCCUCCAAACUGCUUUGCUUGAGGCCGGGAGAGGUGAGUGGAAUUCCCAGUGUAGCGGUGAAAUGCGUAGAUAUUGGGAGGAACACCAGUGGCGAAGGCGGCUCACUGGACCGGCAUUGACGCUGAGGAGCGAAAGCCAGGGGAGCAA
rnacentral:rRNA from 1 species